rnacentral:rRNA from 1 species
AAACAGUUGCUAAGACUGGAUAGGAAAAAUAAGGGCAUCUUUACUUUUUUAAAAGACCUUCUUUGAAGGUAUGCUUAAGGAGGGGCUUGCGACACAUUAGUUAGUUGGCAGGGUAAAGGCCUACCAAGACUAUGAUGUGUAGCUGGACUGAGAGGUUGAACAGCCACAUUGGGACUGAGACACGGCCCAAACUCCUACGGGAGGCAGCAGUAGGGAAUUUUCGGCAAUGGAGGAAACUCUGACCGAGCAACGCCGCGUGAACGAUGAAGUACCUCGGUAUGUAAAGUUCUUUUAUUAAGGAAGAAAAAAGAGUGGAAAAACUCCCUUGACGGUACUUAAUGAAUAAGCCCCGGCUAAUUAUGUGCCAGCAGCCGCGGUAAUACAUAAGGGGCGAGCGUUAUCCGGAAUUAUAGGGCGUAAAGGGUGCGUAGGCGGUUUAAUAAGUCUAUAGUUUAAUUUCAGCGCUUAACGCUGUUGUGCUAUAGAAACUGUUUUACUAGAGUGAGUUAGAGGCAAGCGGAAUUCCAUGUGUAGCGGUAAAAUGCGUAAAUAUAUGGAGGAACACCAGAGGCGUAGGCGGCUUGCUGGGACUUUACUGACGCUGAGGCACGAAAGCGUGGGGAGCAAACAGGAUUAGAUACCCUGGUAGUCCACGCCGUAAACGAUGAGUACUAAGUGUCGGGUAAAACCGGUACUGAAGUUAACACAUUAAGUACUCCGCCUGAGUAGUACGUACGCAAGUAUGAAACUUAAAGGAAUUGACGGGACUCCGCACAAGCGGUGGAUCAUGUUGUUUAAUUCGAAGAUACACGAAAAACCUUACCAGGUCUUGACAUUUUCUUGCGAAGUUAUAGAAAUAUAAUGAAGGUUAUCAGGAAAACAGGUGGUGCAUGGUUGUCGUCAGCUCGUGUCGUGAGAUGUUAGGUUAAGUUCUAAAACGAGCGCAGCCCUUGUCGUUAAUUGCCAGCAUGUAAUGAUGGGGACUUUAACGAGACUGCCAAUGAAAAAUUGGAGGAAGGUGGGGAUUACGUCAAAUCAUCAUGCCCUUUAUGAUCUGGGCUACAAACGUGAUACAAUGGUUGAUACAAAGAGUAGCUGAAACGCGAGUUCUUAGCCAAUCUCACAAAAUCAAUCUCAGUUCGGAUUGAAGUCUGCAACUCGACUUCAUGGAGUUGGAAUCGCUAGUAAUCGCGAAUCAGCAUGUCGCGGUGAAUACGUUGACGGGGUUUGUACACACCGCCCGUCA